ensembl:snRNA U6 U6 spliceosomal RNA
AUAUAGUAUAUACAUAGUAUAUAAUACAAUGAGCAGCUCAGAUUAGCAUGGCCACUGCACAAGCAUGACAUGCAAAUUCAAGAAGUGUUCCAUAUUUUU